rnacentral:rRNA from 1 species
AGUGAACGCUGGCGGUAGGCCUAACACAUGCAAGUCGAACGGCAGCACAGAGGAGCUUGCUCCUUGGGUGGCGAGUGGUGGACGGGUGAGGAAUACAUCGGAAUCUACUCUGUCGUGGGGGAUAACGUAGGGAAACUUACGCUAAUACCGCAUACGACCUACGGGUGAAAGCUGGGGAUCUUCGGACCUUGCGCGAUUGAAUGAGCCGAUGUCGGAUUAGCUAGUUGGCGGGGUAAAGGCCCACCAAGGCGACGAUCCGUAGCUGGUCUGAGAGGAUGAUCAGCCACACUGGAACUGAGACACGGUCCAGACUCCUACGGGAGGCAGCAGUGGGGAAGAUUGGACAAUGGGCGCAAGCCUGAUCCAGCCAUACCGCGUGGGUGAAGAAGGCCUUCGGGUUGUAAAGCCCUUUUGUUGGGAAAGAAAUCCAUCUGGUUAAUACCCGGGUGGGAUGACGGUACCCAAAGAAUAAGCACCGGCUAACUUCGUGCCAGCCGCCGCCGUAA